GUCUCUACCAGGUGCAGACAUAGUGCAAUGGCUGAUGAAGAACCUAGCCAUUGAGGAUCCAGCUGAGGCCAUACACGUCGGGAGUCUGAUUGCUGCUCAGGGAUAUCUCUUCCCCAUCUCUGAUCACGUUCUGUCACUCAAAGACGACGGAACCUUCUAUCGCUUCCAGGCUCCAUAUUUCUGGCCUUCUAACUGUUGGGAGCCAGAGAACACAGACUAUGGUA